UCCGGAGAAUGGGAAGAGAUGUUAGAGUUUGGCUCAUUGCUGAAGUCCUGGAGGAUUCUCAGAGUGUGUUUGUUAGGCCAGCCCGACUCCACUCCCGACCUGGCUCGGUGUUUAGCCCAGUUCUGAGGGUCCUCGCUCGGCGUGUGCGAGCAGGAGCAGCCGGUGUUGCCGCGCCUCUCCAGCUUUGGUAACAAGUCUAUCAAGAUGUGCAUCGAGCAGGCGAUUAGAAACACCAAGAGAAUCAAAACCCGGAAUUUACGGAAGAGUAGCAUCUUCAUAGUCCCCUGUUUGAGCUGUUAGGACCUGAGCCCUAGGACCAUGCCUUAGGACUACCUGGCCUUAUGACUCCUGGCUGUCCCAAGUCCACCUGGUCAUGCUGCUGCUCCAGUUUCAACUGUUCUGCCUGCGGCUAUGGAACCCUGACCUGCUCACCAGAUGUGCUACCUUGGCCCUGCUACCUGCUGUUUUCGUCUCUCUCUCUCUCUCUCUCUCUCUCUCUCCACCGCACCUGCUGUCUCAACCUCUGAAUGCUCAGCUAUGAAAAGCCAACUGACAUUUACUCCUUAGGUACUGAGCUGUUGCACCCUCUACAACCACUGUGAUUAUUAUUUGAACCUGCUGGUCAUCUAUGAAUGUUUGAACAUCUUGAAGAACAAUCUGGCCUUAAUGGCCAUGUACUCUUAUGAUCUUCACCCGGCACAGCCAGAAAAGGACUGCUCGCCCCUCAGAGCCUGGUUCCUCUCUAGGUUUCUUCCUAGGGAGUUUUUCCUAGCCACUGGGCUUCUACAUCUGCAUUGCUUGCUGUUUGGGGUUUUAGGCUGGGUUUCUGUACAGCAGGUUGUGACAUCUGCUGAUGUAAAAAGGGCUUUAUAAAGAAAUUCAGUACACCUUCAGUCUGUCCCAAUACCCUAACACCCAUGUGUUACAACACACCAUGUCAUGUUUCAGAACACCUCAGGAUGAACGUUUCAGUACAUCAUAAAUCUGUCUCAUAACCCUCACAACCAUGUUUUUCAAUGCUCCAGCAAAGUUAAGGUUUCGUCUCCUUAAGGUUGGUGGCAGCUCAGUUGCCACUAGUUUUAGUGUUACAAAGCACUUUUUUUUAACAGUGUGGUGCAAUAACAUUUUUCCCCUGUACGAGUAUCCUAACAGUGAGGUACAGCAGAAGGGAAAGAAAUCAAAUUAGCGUAACAAAUCAAUUAAUCUAUUAAUUGAAACAAAAUCGUCUUAUUGGCCACAACGCAUCUGUAACGGCAGUCCUCCUCCUCUUCAUCUUCGGAAGAGGAGGAGUAUUGAGGGAACCAAGGCGCAGCGUAGUGAAAAGACAUAUUUAUUUAACGAAAACACGAACUUGAUAAACUAACAAAAAACAACAAACGGUGUAGACAGACCUAGACGACGUACUUACAUAAAACAAGAAAAACGCACGAAUAGGUAACAUAGGCUACACAAACCGAACAAACCGUAAACAGUCCAGCGUGGUGUACAGACACAGACACGGAAGACAAUCACCCACAACGAACACUGUGACAACGCCUACCUAAAUAUGACUCUUAAUUAGAGGAACGCCAAACACCUGCCUCUAAUUAAGAGCCAUACCAGGCAACCCAAAAACCAACACAGAAACAGAAAACAUAGAAUGCCCACCCAACCUCACGUCCUGACCAACUAACACACAUAAACUAACAGAAAUAGGUCAGGAACGUGACAGCAUCACCUUAAAUGCCCUUUAUGUGACAAAGUGCUCUGUGUUAUCUCUGGCUGACGCAGCUGACAGGCCAACCAGUGAUAUGUCUCUGGAUACAGAACGACCUAGCCCCCCCGAUUCAAAUGACAACAAUAACAGGGCACAGCAGAGGUCAUAAAGACAUAGAUUGAUGUCCUAUACGUAUUGGGGAGUACAUUGAGAAAGCAAAUCCUUAUCUUCAUCAAUGCUAUCUCAGCAGUGGGUGACUUAUCUAUUUGCUAUAUAGGGGCUGGUGGGAAAUAGGGGAGUCAGGGCUGUGGUUUUGGUGGGAAAAUAAUUAAAGUUGUAAUUGGGAAAGGUUGCUUACUUGAUCGUGAGCUUCUGUCCUGAAAUGUGCAGUAAAAGUGGGGCUGGUACUGUAUCAGCAGUGUCUGGUUAGGAAUGACAUCAUUGGUCACACACGCCACUAUAUGGAAAGGAAAUGCAUCAAGUUAAGAUACGAACGUCACCCUCAAGUUUUAAAAGGAAAAAAUAAAUCCUAUGUAUUAUCAUAAAGACAGCUUGGGUUGGCCCUUCCUCUCCACCUUCACUCCUCAUCAUUGCGCUCCAAGCGUUACAUAUGCGUUGUGUGGUAGCUGUAUUUGUAUGAAUCUGCCCUUGGCGUGACCGGGGUUGAAUGGAACAUCCAUGGAACAAGCCUCAUUUCCAUCCCUGAAGUGCUUCUGCACCUGAUAUGGCAGAUUUAAAUGGAUGUUACAGAUACCGUUGCCCUCUGUUGGCCCCAAUAAGCCACAAAACUCCCAUCUUAUUACUAAUUUGUUUGUCCCUCUAUCCCUCCCUCCCUCCUUCUCGCCAUCUUCAAGUCUUCCGCGAUUUAAUUUAGAAUGCGGUUCACAGGCCAGCCACUGUUGAAUUGUAAGGACGUGGAGAUUUAAUUUAAAUGGUCCCUUUAAUUGACGGCAAUGACUUUAUCAAUAUAUGCUAGGUCAAAAUGACACCCCUUUCCCUAUAUAGUUCAGUAGGGAAUAGGGUGCAUUUUUAGAAGUACUAUUUGUAUAAGCCAUUGCAGCUUUAUAAUUACAUGUGGGCAGUUUUUUCUCCAUCUAUUUGAACCUUUUUAUUUUCUUUAAAGGGCCAAUCUGCGGUUCAAACAAUAACAAUGCGCCUCCCCACCACUGGUUUGGCAAAUGCACUCUUAGAAAAAAAGGUGCUAAGUAGAACCAUAUAGGGUUCUUCGGUUUGUCCCCAUAGGGGAACCCUUUUUGGUACUAGGUAAAACCCUUUACAAAGGGGUUGUUAAUGUAGGGUUUGCCAUAGAACCCCUUGUAUAUGGUUCUAUCUAGAACCCUCUAUGAAGAGUUCUGCCUAGAAACCCCUAUAAAAGGUUCUACUCAGAACCCUUUUCAUCUUUGAAGAGUUCUUCCUAGAACCCUCUAUAAACAGUUUCACCAGCUUUAUUAGCCUUUAAAAUUAAACUUGUUAUGACAAUACAUUACAUAUAUCAUGACCCCUUUCUUUGAGGGCCAAGUUAUACCCUAACACAGUGGUCUUAGGAAACUCCUGGUUUAUAGGCCACAUCAGGCCUGCAAGUCACGCUACGCCAGCGUGCAAAGUGAAGUGUAAUAUCUACUGGAAUCCAGCCAGAGAGAGGAUAUCCAACCAUUGGCUCAUUUAAUCACCCGCAACCUGCAUUCCGAAUGAGAAAGCAUAGAGUAAGGAGACUACCUAAAUAAUCUAAAGAGGAACAACCAUCUCAGUAAUGAGUGCAAUAAUUCCAACUGCUAACAGAUUGGAUUAGUUUAGAAAAAGAUACGUUAUUUAUUUUUGUAUAGCAUAAUAUUAAUCAACCAAUCAAUGUACAUGCAAUAACACAGAUAUUGAAACAAAAAAUUCUGAAAAGCAACCUGAAAUAGAGCAUGCCUGGAAAUAAACUCUGCAAAAAAGGAAACGUCCUCUCACUGUCAACUGCAAUUAUUUUCAGCAAACUUAACAUGUGUAAAUAUUUGUAUGAACAUAACAAGAUUCAACAACUGAGUGAACACUGACAUUCCUGUCUUGCAGGAAAUCACGCACAGAACGAGCAGUAUAGCUGGUGGCAUUGUCAUGCUGGAGGGUCAUGUCAGGAUGAGCCUGCAGGAAGGGUACCACAUGAGGGAGGAGGAUGUCUUCCCUGUAAUGCACAGCAUUGAGAUUGCCUGCAAUGACAACAAGCUCAGUCCGAUGAUGCUGUGACACACCGCCCCAGACCAUGACGGAUCCUCCACCUCUAAAUCGAUCACGCUCCAGAGAACAGGCCUCGGUGUAACGCUCAUCCCUUCGACGAUAAACGCGAAUCCGACUAUCACCUCUGGUGAGACAAAACCGUGAGCUGUCAGUGAAGAGCACUUUUUGCCAGUCCUUUCUGGUCCAGCGACGGUGGGUUUGUGCCCAUAGGCGACGUUGUUGUCGGUGAUGUCUGGUGAGGACCUGCCUUAGAACAGGCCUACAAGCCCUUAGCCCAGCCUCUCUCAGCCUAUUGCAAACAGUCUGAGCACUGAUGGAGGGAUUGUGCGUUCCUGGUGUAACUCAGGCAGUUGUUGUUGCCAUCCUGUACCUGUCCCGCAGCUGUGAUGUUCGGAUAUACCAAUCCUGUGCAGGUGUUGUUACACGUGGUCUGCAACUGCGAAAACGAUCAGCUGUCCAUCCUGUCUCCCUCUAGCGCUGUCUUAGGCGUCUCACAGUACGGACAUUGCAAUUUAUUGCCCUUGACACAUCUGCAGUUCUCAUGCCUCCUUGCAGCAUGCCUAAGGCACGUUCACACAGAUGAGCAGGGACCCAUGGCAUCUGUUUUUCAAAGUCAGUAGAAAGGCGUCUUUAGUGUCCUAAGUUGUAAUAACUGUGACCUUAAUUGCCUACCGUCUGUAAGCUGUUAGUGUCUUAACAACCGUUCCACAGGUGCAUGUUCAUUAAUUGAUUAUGGUUCAUUGAACAAGCAUGGGAAACAGUGUUUAAACCCUCUACAAUGAAGAUCUGUGAAGUUAUUUGGAUUUUUACGAGUCUUUGAAAGACAAGGUCUUGAAAAAGGGACGUUUCUUUUUUUGCUGAGUUUAUGAUAAGUGGUUUUGAGUGUUUUACUCUACACAGAGUGAAAAUGACACAAUCACACUCAGCUCUUGUUAUUAACACCAAUACUGGGGUUAUUUUAUACCACUAAGUGUUAAGUUAAUUUAACUCCUGAAUCAACACUAGGCAUGUUACAGUGAAAAAUCAACAUAGGUAAAACUGGCCAAUUUGAUAUUUACCAAACAGUACAAUACACUGUUGGUUCACUCAUUCCCUUCUAUUCUCCUACUCUCCGCUCAAUAAAAUCACAGAAAAUACUAAUUUGAAUGACAGAAAUCACGGCAGUACCAUAUAUGUAAAAUGAUUAAGGGAAUACCAGAUACGUGCACAAUUAUUCCCAUAUAGGUACAGUUUAAAACAUUCUCAUGUGUAUCUUUUUUAAAUUAUAAGAUUACUCAAACUCCUGAUGUAAAAGUUUAAACACUGAGGUAAGCACUAAUGCUCAGGCACUAUUUGAAAGAAAGAAACAAAAUACAAAAAUAAAUGCUAUCAGAUUCAGAUUCA